UGGGGAAUCUUGCGCAAUGCGCGAAAGCGUGACGCAGCAACGCCGCGUGGGGGGAAGAAGGCCUCGGGUUGUAAACCCCUUUCAGUUGGGACGAAGCUUCGGCGGUGAAUAGCCGUCUGAAGUGACGGUACCUUCAGAAGAAGCCCCCGGCUAACUACGUGCCAGCAGCCGCGGUAAUACGUAGGGGGCAAGCGUUGUCCGGAAUCAUUGGGCGUAAAGAGCGUGUAGGCGGCUUGGUAAGUCCGCUGUGAAAGUCCAGGGCUCAACCCUGGAAUGCCGGUGGAAACUGUCAAGCUUGAGUCCGGAAGAGGCGAGUGGAAUUCCUGGUGUAGCGGUGAAAUGCGCAGAUAUCAGGAGGAACACCAAUGGCGAAGGCAGCUCGCUGGGACGGUACUGACGCUGAGACGCGAAAGCGUGGGGGAGCAA
rnacentral:rRNA from 1 species